rnacentral:rRNA from 1 species
UACAAUGGAGAGUUUGAUCCUGGCUCAGGAUGAACGCUAGCGGCAGGCCUAAUACAUGCAAGUCGGACGGGAUCCAUCGGAGAGCUUGCUCAAAGAUGGUGAGAGUGGCGCACGGGUGCGUAACGCGUGAGCAACCUACCUCUAUCAGGGGGAUAGCCUCUCGAAAGAGAGAUUAACACCGCAUAAUAUAACUAUUCGGCAUCGUCUGGUUAUUAAAUAUUUAUAGGAUAG